rfam:Mus musculus chromosome 13, GRC primary reference assembly.
AAAACGGCUCUUUUAAGAGCCACCUCCAUUAUCCACCAAAGAUGCU